UCCGUAGGGAGCAAGCGUUGUCCGGAAUCAUUGGGCGUAAAGCGCGCGUAGGUGGCCCGGUAAGUCCGCUCUGAAAGUCACAGGCUCAACCUGUGAAAGCGGGUGGAUACUGCCGGGCUAGAGUCCGGAAGAGGCGGGUGGAAUUCCUGGUGUAGCGGUGGAAUGCGCAGAGAUCAGGAGGAACACCAACGGCGAAGGCAGCUCGCUGGGACGGUACUGACACUGAGGCGCGAAAGCGUGGGGAGCGAACAGG
rnacentral:rRNA from 1 species